GACGAACGCUGGCGGCGUGCUUAACACAUGCAAGUCGAACGGAAAGGCCCUGCUUGCAGGGUGCUCGAGUGGCGAACGGGUGAGUAACACGUGGGUGAUCUGCCCCUUACUUUGGGAUAAGCCUGGGAAACUGGGUCUAAUACUGGAUAGGACCAUGCUGUAGGUGGUGUGGUGGAAAGAUUAGUUUCGGUAAGGGAUGAGCUCGCGGCCUAUCAGCUUGUUGGUGGGGUAAUGGCCUACCAAGGCGUCGACGGGUAGCCGGCCUGAGAGGGUGGACGGCCACAUUGGGACUGAGAUACGGCCCAGACUCCUACGGGAGGCAGCAGUGGGGAAUAUUGCACAAUGGGCGCAAGCCUGAUGCAGCGACGCCGCGUGGGGGAUGGCGGCCUUCGGGUUGUAAACUCCUUUCAGCCAUGACGAAGCCCUUGUGGUGACGGUAGUGGUAGAAGAAGCACCGGCUAACUACGUG
rnacentral:rRNA from 1 species